CCUACGGGCGGCAGCAGUGAGGAAUAUUGGUCAAUGGGCGCGAGCCUGAACCAGCCAAGUCGCGUGAAGGAUGAAUGUCCUACGGGUUGUAAACUUCUUUUGUCAAGGAAUAAAGUGAGGCACGUGUGCCUGAUUGAAUGUACUUUAUGAAUAAGGAUCGGCUAACUCCGUGCCAGCAGCCGCGGUAAUACGGAGGAUCCGAGCGUUAUCCGGAUUUAUUGGGUUUAAAGGGUGCGUAGAGGGGUUGUUAAGUCAGUUGUGAAAGUGUGCGGCUCAACCGUAAAAUUGCAUUUGAUACUGGCUGUCUUGAGAACAGGUGAGGUAGGCGGAAUUCGGAGUGUAGCGGUGAAAUGCUUAGAUAUCACGAAGAACUCCGAUUGCGAAGGCAGCAUACUAACCUGCCACUGACGUUGAGGCACGAAAGUGUGGGUAUCGAACAGGAGUAGAUACCCCAGUAGUC
rnacentral:rRNA from 1 species